AGCGAACGCUGGCGGCAGGCCUAACACAUGCAAGUCGAACGGAUCCUUCGGGAUUAGUGGCGGACGGGUGAGUAACACGUGGGAACGUGCCCUUUGGUUCGGAACAACUCAGGGAAACUUGAGCUAAUACCGGAUGUGCCCUUCGGGGGAAAGAUUUAUCGCCAUUGGAGCGGCCCGCGUCUGAUUAGCUAGUUGGUGAGGUAACGGCCCACCAAGGCGACGAUCAGUAGCUGGUCUGGGAGGAUGGUCAGCAACACUGGGACUGGGACACGGCCCAGACUCCUACGGGAGGCAGCAGUGGGGAAUCUUGCGCAAUGGGCGAAAGCCUGACGCAGCCAUGCCGCGUGAAUGAUGAAGGUCUUAGGAUUGUAAAAUUCUUUCAGCGGGGACGAUAAUGACGGUACCCGCAGAAGAAGCUCCGGCUAACUUCGG
rnacentral:rRNA from 1 species